GAUGAACGCUAGCGACAGGCUUAACACAUGCAAGUCGAGGGGCAGCGGGGAGUAGCAAUACUCUGCCGGCGACCGGCGCACGGGUGAGUAACGCGUAUGCAACUUACCUAUCAGAGGAGAAUAGCUCAUCGAAAGAUGAAUUAAUGCUCCAUAAAACAGGGGUCCCGCAUGGGAAUAUUUGUUAAAGAUUUAUCGCUGAUAGAUAGGCAUGCGUUCCAUUAGGCAGUUGGCGGGGUAACGGCCCACCAAGGCAUCGAUGGGUAGGGGUUCUGAGAGGAAGGUCCCCCACAUUGGAACUGAGACACGGUCCAA
rnacentral:rRNA from 1 species